rnacentral:rRNA from 1 species
UUCUUUUUGGUUUUAUAAAAGGUAUAACCUGCUCAAUGAAUUAUUUAAAUAGCCGCGGUUUUACCGUGCUAAGGUAGCAUAAUAAUUUGUCCUUUAAUUAGGGUCUGGAAUGAAAGGUUGAACGAGAAAUUAACUUUUUUAACAAAAUUAUUAAUAAUUUUAUUUUUUAGUUAAAAAGCUAAAAUAAAUUUAUGGGACGAUAAGACCCUAUAGAAUUUUAUUUACAACGUUUUAUAUUAAUGUAUAUUAUUUAAUUUAAUACAGAGUAAAUUUGGUUGGGGUGACUUUUAUACUUAAAAAACUAUAUUUUAUAAAUAUCAUAAGUUCAUGAUUACUUGAUCCUAGAUUGUGAUUAUUAGAUUAAAUUACCUUAGGGAUAACAGCGUAAUUCUUUUGGGGAGUUCUUAUUUAUAAAAGGGAUUGCGA